rnacentral:rRNA from 1 species
AACGAACGCUGGCGGCAUGCCUAACACAUGCAAGUCGAACGAGACCUUCGGGUCUAGUGGCGCACGGGUGCGUAACGCGUGGGAACCUGCCCUUAGGUUCGGAAUAACUCCCCGAAAGGGGUGCUAAUACCGGAUAAUGUCUUCGGACCAAAGAUUUAUCGCCUUUGGAUGGGCCCGCGUUGGAUUAGCUAGUUGGUAGGGUAAAAGCCUACCAAGGCGACGAUCCAUAGCUGGUCUGAGAGGAAGAUCAGCCACGCUGGGACUGAGACACGGCCCAGACUCCUACGGGAGGCAGCAGUGGGGAAUAUUGGACAAUGGGCGAAAGCCUGAUCCAGCAAUGCCGCGUGAGUGAUGAAGGCCUUAGGGUUGUAAAGCUCUUUUACCCGGGAUGAUAAUGACAGUACCGGGAGAAUAAGCUCCGGCUAACUCCGUG